rnacentral:rRNA from 1 species
GUUAUAUGGUCAAGCGAAUAAGCGCACACGGUGGAUGCCUAGGCGGUCAGAGGCGAUGAAGGACGUGGUAGCCUGCGAAAAGUGUCGGGGAGCUGGCAACAAGCUUUGAUCCGGCAAUAUCCGAAUGGGGAAACCCACUGCUUCGGCAGUAUCCUGCAGUGAAUUCAUAGCUGCUGGAAGCGAACCCGGUGAACUGAAAUAUCUAAGUAACCGGAGGAAAAGAAAUCAACCGAGAUUCCCUAAGUAGUGACGAGCGAACGGGGAGCAGCCCUUAAGCUGGAAUGGCUUUAGAAAAACAAUCUGGAAAGAUUGGCCAUAGAAGGUGAUAGCCCUGUAUUUAAAAGGGCCACUCCAGUGAAGACGAGUAGGGCGGGGCACGUGAAACCCUGUCUGAAUAUGGGGGGACCAUCCUCCAAGGCUAAAUACUCCUGACCGACCGAUAGUGAACCAGUACCGUGAGGGAAAGGCGAAAAGAACCCCGGAGAGGGGAGUGAAAUAGAUCCUGAAACCGUGUGCGUACAAGCAGUAGGAGCUCGCAAG